rnacentral:tRNA from 1 species
GUGGGCGUAGCUCAGUUGGUUAGAGCGUCAGAUUGUGGCUCUGAAGGUCGCCGGUUCAAUCCCGGUCGUCCACCCCA